CAACCCAUCCGACACAGCAUCUCCUGUGCCAUCCCCUCGACAAACCCUGUCACCUAUAUGGGUGAUCCCUUGGCAUCAUCUGGAAGCAGCAGUGAGCUUGUGUCACCUUAUCUGCUCUAUCUCAGCUUUGCCUUUCGUUUCUCCAUCUGGCAGAGGAGGAGCUGGGAGCUGCAGCAGGUGUGGUUCAUGAGCUCUGCAGCUUGUUGUGCCAUUACGGUGGGUAAGCCCCGUGGUAGCUAUUAGCAAUCACAUAUAUAAAACACCAGGUCAGGAGGAUGUUUAGCAGCUAGGGCAGUUUGUGAGAAGGGUGCUUAUGUGCUCUGAGUCCUUGGAGCUUGCUAGGGGCACCCACUGGGGUCUCCCUGUUCAGUGCUGACCCAAGAUGGAUGACAGCAAGCCAAGUGCAUGCUGCUCCUUCACCUCCACAGCUGCCACCAUUUGCAGCACCAAGCUAUAGAAGAGUAAGAUGCUCACAAAUUACAAAUACUUACUCUGAAGGUGCAGUUUGCAAAGUGCUAUGACUUUUCUCCCUGCACCCACUGUAGCCACGAGGCUGAGAACAAGGGUGCUGCUUAACUCCACCCUGAAUCAGGCAAGCUGGUACUUCUCUUCUGAGCCAAGACUUGGAAUCAUAGAAUUGAUAAUGUUGGAAAGGACCUCUAAGAUCAUCAAGUCUGACUGUCAACCCAUCACCACCACUGUGUCCCUAAUUAUUCAGCAAAGGAGUCAAAAGCUUCAUUCUCCUCUGGGACAGAGAAAAAUGGUCCCAAAAUGUGGUGCACAAUUAUUACUGCAGCAAAUCUUCUGGUGUUCAUUUCCCGUCAUCCAUUGA
rnacentral:lncRNA from 1 species